rnacentral:rRNA from 1 species
UGGAAAGUUGGACCGUAGGAGGUAAUAGUCCUGUAGGUGAAAGUCAAGAUAAUCAAGUUCUGAUCCAGAGUACCACGAGACACGUGAAACCUUGUGGGAAGCAGGGAGGACCACCUCCCAAGGCUAAAUACUACCUGAUGACCGAUAGUGAAGCAGUACCGUGAGGGAAAGGUGAAAAGAACCCCGGGAGGGGAGUGAAAUAGAACCUGAAACCGUGUGCCUACAACCGGUCAAAGCCCCUUAUGAGGGUGAUGACGUGCUUUUUGUAGAACGAGCCAACGAGUUACGGUAUGUAGCAAGGUUAAGUACUUAAGGUACGGAGCCGAAGGGAAACCGAGUCUUAAUAGGGCGACUAGUUGCAUGCCGUAGACCCGAAACCGGGUGACCUAUCCAUGGCCAGGUUGAAGCGAGGGUAAAACUUCGUGGAGGACCGAACCACGUUGCUGUUGAAAAAGCAUGGGAUGAGCUGUGGAUAGCGGAGAAAUUCCAAUCGAACUCGGAGAUAGCUGGUUCUCCCCGAAAUAGCUUUAGGGCUAGCGUCGGAUAUGUGUAGUGGAGGUAGAGCACUGAAUGGGCUAGGGGGCAUAUCGCUUACCGAACCUUAUCAAACUCCGAAUGCCAUAUACAUUAAGUCCGGCAGUCAGACUACGAAUGAUAAGAUCCGUGGUCAAAAGGGAAACAGCCCAGACCGUCAGCUAAGGUCCCAAAGUGUAAGUUAAGUGGAAAAGGAUGUGGGAUUUCUAAGACAACUAGGAUGUUGGCUUAGAAGCAGCCACUCAUUUAAAGAGUGCGUAAUAGCUCACUAGUCGAGAGAUCCUGCGCCGAAAAUGUACCGGGGCUAAACUUACCACCGAAGCUACGGAUUUGCAAGUAAUUGCAAGUGGUAGGGGAGCGUCGUAAUCGGGCUGAAGUCGUACCGGAAGGAGCGGUGGACUGAUUACGAGUGAGAAUGUUGGCAUUAGUAGCGAGAUGUAGGUGAGAAUCCUACAGGCCGAAUAUCUAAGGUUUCCUCAGGAAGGCUCGUCCGCUGAGGGUUAGUCGGGACCUAAGCCGAGGCCGAAAGGCGUAGGCGAUGGACAAUCGGUUGAUAUUCCGAUACCACUACCAUCGUUAUUAUCGAGGGUGUGACGGAGAAGGAUAGUGUGUGCUAGCGAUUGGAAAUGCUAGUCUAAGCGUUUAGGGAGUUACGGUAGGCAAAUCCGCUGUAACAAUUCUGAGGCGUGAUGGGGAAGGUCAUUAAGACCGAAGUACAUGAUUCCAUGCUUCCAAGAAAAGCAUCUAGAGAGAGAAGUAGUGCCCGUACCGCAAACCGACACAGGUAGAUGAGGAGAGAAUCCUAAGGCCGGCGGAAGAAUUGCAGUUAAGGAACUAGGCAAAUUGACCCCGUAAGUUCGCGAGAAGGGGUGCCUGCGAGAGCAGGCCGCAGAGAAUAGGCCCAAGCAACUGUUUAGCAAAAACACAGGUCUCUGCUAAAGCGUAAGCUGAUGUAUAGGGGCUGACGCCUGCCCGGUGCUGGAAGGUUAAGGGGAACACUUAGCGCAAGCGAAGGUGUGAACUUAAGCCCCAGUAAACGGCGGCCGUAACUAUAACGGUCCUAAGGUAGCGAAAUUCCUUGUCAGGUAAGUUCUGACCCGCACGAAUGGCGUAAUUACUGUAGCUUAGCAUUGAAUUCCGGUAUUGUCUGUACAGGAUAGGUGGGAGACUGGGAAACUAGGGCGUCAGCCUUAGUGGAGUCAACCUUGGGAUACCACCCUGACAGUACUGGGGUUCUAACAGGACGCCAUGAAGCUGGUGACUGGACAUUGUUAGGUGGGCAGUUUGACUGGGGCGGUCGCCUCCUAAAAAGUAACGGAGGCGCCCAAAGGUUCCCUCAGAACGGUCGGAAAUCGUUCGUAGAGUGCAAAGGCAGAAGGGAGCCUGACUGCGAGACCUACAAGUCGAGCAGGGACGAAAGUCGGGCUUAGUGAUCCGGUGGUACCUCGUGGGAGGGCCAUCGCUCAACGGAUAAAAGCUACCUCGGGGAUAACAGGCUGAUCUCCCCCAAGAGUCCACAUCGACGGGGAGGUUUGGCACCUCGAUGUCGGCUCGUCGCAUCCUGGGGCUGUAGUAGGUCCCAAGGGUUGGGCUGUUCGCCCAUUAAAGCGGCACGCGAGCUGGGUUCAGAACGUCGUGAGACAGUUCGGUCCCUAUCCGUCGCGGGCGUAGGAA